rnacentral:lncRNA from 1 species
UUAUUUUUUAUGGCCACACUCACAACAUAUGGAAGUUCCUGGGCCAGGGACUGAAUCCAAGGUUCCGUCCAGAGCAUUUAACCCCCUGCGCCAGCCAGGGAUUGAACCCACACCUCCACAGUGACCUCAGCCACCGUAGUCUGAUUCUUAAGCCAUUGUGCCACAGUGGGAACUCCCUAUUUUUAUUUUGAAUGUGCUAUCAGGAAAAAUAAUUGUGCAGUGACUUACAUUCUAUUUCUAUUCAUUAUAUUUUUAUUGGGCGUUAACUACAUCUCUGCUGCUCUAGACUAUAAAGCCCUUCGUUUUUCUCUAAUCUGGUCUCUGCCAUUCUCCUGCAGGAUUCUGAACUCUAGUCUUGCUGAACUUCUGGGAGUUCCUCACAUAGCAUGAUUUAAGUAAGUCCCUUAACUUCUCUGAGUCUCUUUCCUCAUUUGAAAAUUGAGCAUGCUAAUAAAACCUUCCUCAUAAGAUAUUUAUAAGAGUUAAACAGGAUGCUGCAUGUAAAAUGCCUUGAGAAGUUCAGCUUCAGCACUUAACAAAUAUUAGUUGUAAGUCAUUAAAAACAGAUCUCCUGAGUUCCACUUCCUGAACAGCAGGGUAAGUAUCUCUGCAGAACUGCUCUCUAAUGAAACAAGCACAACUGGUAAAAAUUGCUUUUAUAAAAAGUUUAAAUGUCUGGAGAACUUCAGUUUUAGGUCUAACAUCUAACAAACUCAUAAAGUGUCACUCCUAGACUUGCUAGAAGAAAAAAGCUGAACAACUUGAAAAUCAAUGACUUUUCCUGGUACCACCAGAAAACUGCAAUCACAGAGCAGAGCAUUACCCCAGAAUCUGAAGAGACAGAGGAAUACAGAGAGUCACAGCUAAGGUCAGCUUACCUAGAGCAGAAGCGACCAAAGGCAUAAACUAGUAGGAACCCUCAAAGAUUAAUUUUGAUGAGUUGCUGGAAUUAAUAUUUUCUUUUAUUUAUUUAUUUUUUGCUUAUUUAGGGCUGCAUCUGUGGCAUAUGGACGUUCCCAGGCUAGGGAUGAAUUGGAGCUACAUCUGCUGGCCUACACCACAGCCAUAGCAAUAUAGGAUCUGAGUGUGUCUGCCAUCUACACCAUGGCUCACGGCAACGCUGAAUCAUUAAUCCACUGAGUGAGGCCAGGGAUCAAAUCUGCAUCCUCAUGGAUACUAGUCGGGUUCAUUACUGCUGAGCCAUGAUAGGAACUUCCAAGAUUUUUAAAUAAUAUAUUCAUGUAAUUGUGGAGGCUGGCAAGUCCAAAGUCUGCAGGGCAAGGUUUUAGGCUAGAGCUCAAGGGAAGAGUUGAUAUUGUAUUCUCAAGUCCAAGGCCCAUCUGGAGGCAGAAAUUCUUCUCUCUCCUGGAGACUUUUAAGGCUUUUGACUGAUUAGAUGAGGCCCACCCAUAGCACUGAGGGUAAUUUGCUGUACACAAAGUCUGUUUAUUUAUUUAUUUAUUUAUUUAUUUAUUAUUUUGAAGGCCACACCAUGGCAUAUGGAAAUUACCAGGCUAGGGUCCAAUCGAGCUGUAGCCGCUGGCCUAUGCCACAGCCACAGCAACGCCAGAUCCAAGUUGCGUCUGCAACCUAUAGCGGAGAUCACAGCAAUGCCAGAUCCUUAACCUAGUGAGGCCAGGGGUUGAACCUGCAACCUCAUGGUUCCUAGUCAGAUUCGUUUCUGCUGAGCCAGAACAGGAACUCUGAAAGUCUCUCUAUUUAAAUGUUAAUCUCAUCUAAAAUAUAGCUAUAUAGCAACACCUGGAUGGGUGUCUGACCAAACAACCAGUCACCACAGCCUAGCAAAGUUGAUACAUAAAAUGAACCAUUAUGCUAAGCAUGGAACAAUCUGGAAAUGAGAGGUCCCAGGCUAAGGGGAGUUGCCACACAUUCAUGUGUUACCUCCAGGAAUUCCACCAGGUUCUCACUGUUAGAAUCAAGGGAGAGACUCUCGUGCCCUAGUGGGGUAUGAAAACAAUCUUUGGGAUCUACACCAAGGGUGGGGUGUUCUUCCCAAGACGGGCCUCUUUUUAGGGGAAAAGAUCUUAGCAGAGCCUUAUCUGACCUGGGAGAGACCAUGCAGCAUCCCUGCCUCUUGCAAAGGGGAUGGAAGUCCCUAAAGGUGACCCACGUAUCAGCACUGCUCCUGGGCCUGUGUGUAUUGCCUGUCUCUUAAAAAGAAACGGACAAAUUUAGGAUUCCAAAGAUCAAAGAUAAUAGACACAAUUCUGAACUUCCUAUGAGCUUCAGUCACUGAGCCGUGUCAAUUUAGAACAAGCCCAAUGCUCAGACACUGGAGAAGAACCCCGGCUGUCUCUUCGCUGAGACCCGAAAUGCUGGCUUUGGCCCCAAGCUGCCUCUGAACAAUGGGAGGGGCCCCUAGCCACCUCUGCCUUUCAUACUUUCUGCUCCACUCCUUCGCCAGCGAAUCCUUUUAUUAUGUUAAACUGGGACGUCAUUACUGGAAUUAGAAAGGAAAAUACCAGCUGCUUUGUCCUCCAGGAAGCACUAAUUAGCCAGCAGCCAGGAUCUCAAGCGACAAUGGGACUUGUGCAGGCUAAUUACCAGCUAGCUGCCUCCACACCCUGGGUGGCUCAAGCUCCAGCACCUGCACUUCAGGGCUGAGAUAUUUUUAGGAUCUGGAAUUUCCCCUGGCCCUUAGCUUGCUUUUGAUGUCUUCAUCACACAUCUCCUUUUGCAAUCGUUUCCUCGCUGGUCUCUGAUUUCCAGCCAACCCAUCUUGCACAAAAAAGCCAAAUUCAUUGCCUUAAAACACAGCUCCAAUCAUAUAAUUUCCCAACCCCAAUUUGUCAGCAUAAUCCCUGUGCUGUAAAUUACAGUCCAACCCAGAAGGCUUUAUAUAAAAGGACCCAAGCCCACCUUGCCAGCCUCCUGGCAGUCCUUGCCUUCCUUAGCAUCCCCACCCUCACCCCAAUUGGCACCUUCACCUCUGAUGUGCUCUUAUCAUUGCCGUGGGAGUGUUAAGGGCAGAAACAGUUUUUGGACUGAUAAAGACCAAUAAAGAAUCUGGAGGUGUGGGGAAAGUGUAACAAUCUAAAAGCUGCCUGGGGGACCCUAUCACUCAGCUGGGAUGGAGACUCUGGGGUAGGCAGUUCAGGAGGGACUGGAAUCAGGCUUGUGGGUAGGUCCAUGGAAGGUGUGUAUAUCUUCCAGCCAAAGCCUGCCACACAGCCCUCUCCAUCCCUCAUGGCCUAAUUGGGGUUUUGUAUUCUCACUAUGUUAUGACUUGCAUCUUCCCUUAAACUCUGACCACACAGACAUCCUGCUUAACAUCUGACCACACACUGACAUCCUGCUUCCCUCUUUCUAGACUCAUCUGGUGAGAGCGAGAGCUCACCACCGUGAAUUAGGUUUUGCCCAGGCCAGGUCCUAGUUUGUUACACCUCUUUGGACACUGUCUACACUGCAGUCCAACCUGCAGCCUCCAUUUUCUCCCCUCUGACCCAGCACCCACAUUUUCUCUGCUCAGAAGCCCUCUUAGCUCAGUCUGUUACAUGCAAAUGCUUAUAACAGGUGGCUCAAAUGGAAGUUAUCUCCAGAAACCAAGAUGCAAUUCAUGUGUGAUGGUGAAAUGAUGUGUCAGACCGCCUAGUGUAAAAUUUACAGAAGAAAAAUCUCCAUACAGGUUUCACUCUCUCAUCCCCUUAGUACAGAGAGAGAGGAAGUGUAUAUGUGUGGGAAAAAGAGAGAGAGAAGUGACCCUCCUGAUGUGAAUCUGGCUACCAUUUGGGGGGGGUCCCCACCCCUUACCACGCACCAGGUGUCUGUGGUUUUCUAACUUCUAUCCCAGAGUCAAGGAGAAGCCUAAGAUCUCUCUGGAGUUGGAGGUUGAGAGGCACCUGUACCUGCCUCUGAUGCUCCAGGGACCCUAGAGGCUGAGGUAGUUGCUGAUAAGCUCUGGCAUCAAAGGCAGGAGGGUAGGCAGCCCUAGUGCACUACCCUGGUCCAGCCUACCAGGAGCAGGAUACUGAUGUGUCUUCUGGACCAGAUUGGGGAGCAGGAGCCACACCAGGGAUGGGUGGGCAGAAAAGAAACAUGGCCCCCUAGGGACACACUACCAUGAUUGUAAUAGGAACUGUAGGUAACAAGAUCCCCAGGCAAGAGAAUUUCUCAAAAAAUACCCCUGGAAGAAAAGAGUUGGUUUUCCACCAUUGGUGCUUCCUCUUCCCUGCCUAGCCAGCCGGUCCAGUCCUGGUCUCAAUGGCUACAGUGGCUGUUGGCCCAGGCUGGCCCUCUGCCUCCCACAGCUGUGUCCUGAGCCAAGAAACACGUUUAUUCAAAACCAUAAUCAGUCUGAAAUUAAACAGAAGAGACCAGUCAUCAAAACUAAAAGAAGGGAAAAGCCAGGGUGGGGAGAGAAGCACAAUUCCAAUUCCUCCAUCUCCUGGCACGGAUCCCCAGCCCAUGUGCCCUGGUGGGGCUGCCUACAGCUGGGGAGGGGAGGGGUAGGGAGAGGUCCAGCCCUCUGAGGCUUCAGCUGCAGGUUGAUGCCUUGCACAGAGCUCCUCACUGAUGAAUCCAGCAGGGUCCGGGUUGCCAUUAUCUGGGAUGGACAGUAAAGUUAGGGCCUCCCUUGCUUCUUAGGACAACUGGGAAAGAGGCUACCUCUGCUAGCUAUAUCUCCAAGGGACAAUGGACUCCACAUCUACCUCUCAAUUCUCAAGGAGGUUUGUCCAUCACCUUUAUGCCAGCCCCUUCAGGAGCCUGCCUCACUACUGCAAAGCCUUGCUCCAUUGCUUUUCUCUCCGAAAAGGGCUUCCACUUUUUACCUUCUUUUUUGUUUUGCACUCCUUAUGGCCUGGUACUUAUGUCAGUGUGUACAUUUUAUUUCCCCUGCCACCGUCCCCUCUUAAACAGAGCAUUUAUUUGGUACCGACUCUGUACCAGCCACUGUGCAAAGUCCCUGCCCACCUUGUUGUUGCUGGAUUCCUGAAAUCUCUGAGGUUUAUUUGUCCUGGA